rnacentral:rRNA from 1 species
CCUACGGGUGGCAGCAGUGAGGAAUAUUGGUCAAUGGACGAGAGUCUGAACCAGCCAAGUCGCGUGAAGGAUGACUGCCCUAGGGGUUGUAAACUUCUUUUAUAUGGGAAUAAAACGUUCCACGUGUGGGAUUUUGUAUGUACCAUAUGAAUAAGGAUCGGCUAACUCCGUGCCAGCCGCCGCGGUAAUACGGAGGGUACGAGGGUUAUCCGGAUUUAUUGGGUUUAAAGGGAGCGUAGGUGGAUUGUUAAGUCAGUUGUGAAAGUUUGGGGCUCAACCGUAAAAUUGCAGUUGAUACUGGCAGUCUGGAGUACGGUAGAGGUGGGCGGAAUUCGUGGUGUAGCGGUGAAAUGCUUAGAUAUCACGAAGAACACCGAUGGCGAAGGCAGUUCACUGGACUGUAACUGACGCUGAGGCGCGAAAGUGUGGGUAGCAAACAGGAUUAGAUACCCGUGUAGUC